CCCCUAGAUGUUCUGGGCCGCACGCGCGCUACACUGACGGAUUCAACGAGCUUACAACCUUGGCCGAAAGGUCUGGGUAAUCUCCAAAAUCCGUCGUGAUGGGGAUAGAUUAUUGCAAUUAUUAAUCUUCAACGAGGAAUGCCUAGUAAGCGCAAGUCAUCAGCUUGCGUUGAUUACGUCCCUGCCCUUUGUACACACCGCCCGUCGCUCCUACCGAUUGAAUGGUCCGGUGAAGCGUUUGGACUAUGGUUUUCUGAUGGUCCGCCGUUGGAUUACCGUGGGAAGUUCGUUAAACCUUAUCAUUUAGAGGAAGGAGAAGUCGUAACA
rnacentral:rRNA from 1 species